rnacentral:snRNA from 1 species
AUUGCUUCUCGGCCUUUUGGCUAAAAUCAAGUGUAGUGUCUGUUCUUAUCAGUUUAAAUCUGAUAGUCCUCUAUCCGAGGACAAUAUAUUAAAUGGAUUUUUGGAGCAGAGAGAUGAAAUAGGAGCUUACUCCAACUGUUCCACGCAUUGACCUAGUAUUGCAGUACCUCUAGGAAUGGUGCACCCCUC